UACGGGGGGAGCAAGCGUUGUUCGGAUUUACUGGGCGUAAAGGGCGCGUAGGCGGUCGUGACAAGUCACUUGUGAAAUCUCCGGGCUUAACUCGGAACGGUCAAGUGAUACUGUCGGACUAGAGUACAGAAGGGGCAACUGGAAUUCUCGGUGUAGCGGUGAAAUGCGUAGAUAUCGAGAGGAACACCUGCGGCGAAGGCGGGUUGCUGGGCUGAUACUGACGCUGAGGCGCGAAAGCCCAGGGGAGCGAACGGGG
rnacentral:rRNA from 1 species